rnacentral:rRNA from 1 species
UGUUGCAGUUAAAAAGCUCGCAGUUGGAUUUCUGCGGGGGCGGGGCGGCCGAACGCUUAUAGCGUUUCGAGCUAGCACUUCCCCUGCAUCCUGCCGCGAACCGUGCUACCAUUAGUUUGGUGGCGCCGGGGAUCGGUUCGUUUACUUUGAGAAAAAUAGAGUGUUCAAAGCAGGCCACACGCCUUGAAUAAGUUAGCAUGGAAUAAUGAUAAAGGACUUCGGUUCUAUUUUGUUGGUGUUCGGGACUGAAAGUAAUGAUUGAUAGGGACAGUUGGGGCGGU